rnacentral:rRNA from 1 species
AUUGAACGCUGGCGGCAGGCCUAACACAUGCAAGUCGGACGGUAGCACAGAGAGCUUGCUCUUGGGUGACGAGUGGCGGACGGGUGAGUAAUGUCUGGGGAUCUGCCCGAUAGAGGGGGAUAACCACUGGAAACGGUGGCUAAUACCGCAUAACGUCGCAAGACCAAAGAGGGGGACCUUCGGGCCACUAUUUAGACGCUAUCGCUUGGGGAUGGGCCUGCGCACCAUUAGCUAGUUGGUGAGGUAAUGGCUCACCAAGGCUACGAUGGUUAGUUGGUCUGAGAGGAUGACCAGCCACACUGGGGCUGAGACACGGCCCAGACUCCUACGGGAGGCAGCAGUGGGGAAUAUUGGACAAUGGGGGGAACCCUGAUCCAGCCAUGCCGCGUGUGUGAAGAAGGCCUUUUGGUUGUAAAGCACUUUAAGCGAGGAGGAGGCUACUGGUAUUAAUACUACUGGAUAGUGGACGUUACUCGCAGAAUAAGCACCGGCUAACUCUGUGCCAGCCGCCGCGGUAACAC